CAAAUUCCCAAAGUGCCUUCCCAACCCGCUGACACUGCAGUAAAGGGAUGAGGUGCAGAGAGAGCCACGGGGUGCAGUGAAGGGAUGAGGUGCAGAGAGAGCCACGGGGUGCAGUAAAGGGAUGAGGUACAGAGAGAGCCACAGGGUGCAGUGAAGGGAUGAGGUGCAGAGAGAGCCACGGGGUGCAGUGAAGGGAUGAGGUACAGAGAGAGCCACGGGGUGCAGUGAAGGGAUGAGGUGCAGAGAGAGCCACGGGGUGCAGUGAAGGGAUGAGGUACAGAGAGAGCCACGGGGUGCAGUGAAGGGAUGAGGUGCAGAGAGAGCCACGGGGUGCAGUGAAGGGAUGAGGUGCAGAGAGAGCCACGGGGUGCAGUAAAGGGAUGAGGUGCAGAGAGAGCCACGGGG
ensembl:lncRNA